rnacentral:rRNA from 1 species
CCUACGGGAGGCUGCAGUGAGGAAUAUUGGUCAAUGGACGAGAGUCUGAACCAGCCAAGUAGCGUGAAGGAUGACUGCCCUAUGGGUUGUAAACUUCUUUUAUAUGGGAAUAAAAUGUUCCACGUGUGGGAUUUUGUAUGUACCAUAUGAAUAAGGAUCGGCUAACUCCGUGCCAGCAGCCGCGGUAAUACGGAGGAUCCGAGCGUUAUCCGGAUUUAUUGGGUUUAAAGGGAGCGUAGGUGGAUUGUUAAGUCAGUUGUGAAAGUUUGCGGCUCAACCGUAAAAUUGCAGUUGAAACUGGCAGUCGUGAGUACAGUAGAGGUAGGCGGAAUUCGUGGUGUAGCGGUGAAAUGCUUAGAUAUCACGAAGAACUCCGAUUGCGAAGGCAGCUCACUGGACUGCAACUGACACUGAGGCUCGAAAGUGUGGGUAUCAAACAGGAUUAGAUACCCCGGUAGUC